GAUGAACGCUGGCGGCGUGCCUAAUACAUGCAAGUCGAGCGAACGGACGAGAAGCUUGCUUUUCUGAUGUUAGCGGCGGACGGGUGAGUAACACGUGGAUAACCUACCUAUAAGACUGGGAUAACUUCGGGAAACCGGAGCUAAUACCGGAUAAUAUUUUGAACCGCAUGGUUCAAAAGUGAAAGACGGUCUUGCUGUCACUUAUAGAUGGAUCCGCGCUGCAUUAGCUAGUUGGUAAGGUAACGGCUUACCAAGGCAACGAUGCAUAGCCGACCUGAGAGGGGAGUCGGCCACACGGGAAUGGACACCGGGACCGACCCCCGCGGGAAGGAGCAGGGGGGAAUUCUUCGCAAAGGGCGGAAGGCCGAACGAGGCACCGCGGGGGGAGGGAGAAGGGUCUUGGGAUGUAAAAACCUUUUUAUUGGGAAGAAACAUAUGGGAAAUAAACGGUGCACGUCUUGACGGUACCAAAAAAGAAAGCCCCGGCUAACUCCGUG
rnacentral:rRNA from 1 species